CUGGUGCCAGCAGCCGCGGUAAUUCCAGCUCCAAUAGCGUAUAUUAAAGUUGUUGCAGUUAAAAGCUCGUAGUUGAAUUUCGGGAUCAAUACGUCGGUCGUGCCUUCGGUACGCACUGGGGUCGUUGAUUCCUCCCUUCUGAUGAACCAUGAUGUCAUUAAUUUGGUGUCGUGGGGAGUCAGGACUGUUACUUUGAAAAAAUUAGAGUGUUUAAAGCAGGCAAACGCUUGAAUACAUUAGCAUGGAAUAAUGAAAUAGGACGUUCGACCUAAUUUUGUUGGUUUCUAGGUACAACGUAAUGAUUAAUAGGGAUAGUUGGGGGCAUUAGUAUUCAAUUGUCAGAGGUGAAAUUCUUGGAUUUAUUGAAGACUAACUACUGCGAAAGCAUUUGCCAAGGAUGUUUUCAUUAAUCAAGAACGAAAGUUAGGGGAUCGAAGACGAUCAGAUACCGUCGUAGUCUUAACCAUAAACUAUGCCGACUAGGGAUCGGAUGAUGUUAAUUUUUAAUGACUCAUUCGGCGCCUUACG
rnacentral:rRNA from 1 species